rnacentral:sRNA from 1 species
GCCAGGUGUGGUGGCUCACACCUGUAACCCCAACACUUUAGGAGGCCAAGGUGGGUGGAUUGCUUGAGCCCAGGAGUUCGGGACCAGCCUGGGCAACAUGGUGAAACCUCAUCUCUACUAAAAAAAAAUUAGCCAGGUGUGUUGGUGAGGGCCUGUAGUCCCAGCUACUUGGGAGGCUGAGAUGAAAAGAUUGCUUCAGUGCAGCAGGUGGAUGUUGCAGUGAGCCAAGAUCAUGUCACUGUACUCUGUACUCCAGCCUGGCCUACGGAGCAAGACCUUGUCUUG